rnacentral:rRNA from 1 species
CCUACGGGAGGCAGCAGUGAGGAAUAUUGGUCAAUGGGCGGGAGCCUGAACCCGCCAAGCCGCGUGAGGGAAGAAGGUACAGCGUAUCGUAAACCUCUUUUGUCAGGGAACAAAGGCGGGGACUAGUCCCCGGAUGAGGGUACCUGAAGAAAAAGCAUCGGCUAACUCCGUGCCAGCAGCCGCGGUAAUACGGAGGGUGCGAUCGUUAUCCGGAUUUAUUGGGUUUAAGGGGUGCGCAGGCGGCCUGUUAAGUCAGCGGUAACAGCCCGGGGCUCAACCCCGGCGAGCCGUUGAAACUGGCGGGCUGGAGUUGGAGAGACGUACGCGGAAUGCGCGGUGUAGCGGUGAAAGGCUUAGAUAUCGCGCAGAACCCCGAUUGCGAAGGCAGCGUACCGGCUCCACACUGACGCUGAGGCACGAAAGCGUGGGUAUCGAACAGGAUUAGAUACCCGUGUAGUC